rnacentral:rRNA from 1 species
UACGUAGGGUGCGAGCGUUAAUCGGAAUUACUGGGCGUAAAGCGUGCGCAGGCGGUUGGCCGUGUCCGAUGUGAAAGCCCCGGGCUUAACCUGGGAAUGGCAUUGGAAACUGGCUGGCUGGAGUGUGGCAGAGGGGGGUGGAAUUCCACGUGUAGCAGUGAAAUGCGUAGAGAUGUGGAGGAACACCGAUGGCGAAGGCAGCCCCCUGGGCCAACACUGACGCUGAGGCACGAAAGCGUGGGGAGCGAACCGG